GGGCCGGUAGCUCAGUUGGUAGAGCAUGUGACUUUUAAUCACAGGGUCCUGGGUUCGAGCCCCAGCCGGCUCACCA
rnacentral:tRNA from 1 species